GCUUACGGCCAUACCAGCCUGGGUACGCCCGAUCUCGUCUGAUCUCGGAAGCUAAGCAGGGUCGGGCCUGGUUAGUACUUGGAUGGGGGACUGCCUGGGAAUACCAGGUGCUGUAAGCA
rnacentral:rRNA from 1 species